rnacentral:rRNA from 1 species
AGAGACAGCAGCGCCGCGGUAAUACGUAGGGCGCAAGCGUUAUCCGGAAUUAUUGGGCGUAAAGAGCUCGUAGGCGGUUUGUCGCGUCUGCCGUGAAAGUCCGGGGCUCAACCCCGGAUCUGCGGUGGGUACGGGCAGACUAGAGUGAUGUAGGGGAGACUGGAAUUCCUGGUGUAGCGGUGAAAUGCGCAGAUAUCAGGAGGAACACCGAUGGCGAAGGCAGGUCUCUGGGCAUUAACUGACGCUGAGGAGCGAAAGCAUGGGGAGCGAACAGGAUUAGAUACCCCCGUAGUCCCUGUCUCUUAUACC